GGACUGAAUUCGAUACAAACCCGCGCGUUCUGACCACUGUAACUCAUGGAUAUUCUGUCUUGAUCAAAUGAAAAGAGAAUAUAUGUCUGUUUUCAUACAAGGACAGAUGAGGUUUGCCAUUUAAGCCAACCCCUCCAAAUUGGAGAGAUGAGGGAAGCUGCCUCAAUAAGUGCCCAGUGGGAAAGAACUAUUUUGGUCUCAAGCGUAUGGAUGUGUGCCAUGUGCCUUCUGUGACAGGCAAUGAACUCCUCAGGAGCAGAGGGGAUGCUGGGUCCUCCUACAUUUAUGGCUGUCACAGUGACAGUGUGUCUCUGGCCACACCCCACGGGCACAAGAGAACAGGGGCCAGUUGUAGAGGUACAGUUGAUCCCUUCAGAGCUGAGAGCCAGGUAGCCCCCGGCCCCCCGAGACGAUGUCCAGGACACAGACACACCAGCACCAGAGCCCACCAUUGUCAACUGAAGCUCGAUGAAUCCAGGGAUGGGUGGGCCUGGAGGGGAAGAGAGACACGAGCACACACAAAGACGGUGAAGUCGUCUCCCUGUCUGUGCUCCGGGUCCCAGGCAUUGCUCUUGAUGCAGUAAGUGGUCCCGGCCUCCAGGUCGGGGAAGGUCAC